rnacentral:rRNA from 1 species
UNNNGAAUANNNNNNAAUGGGCGGGAGCCUGRUCCAGCCAUGCCGCGUGCAGGAUGACUGCCCUAUGGGUUGUAAACUGCUUUUAUACGGGAAGAAACGCACCUACGUGUAGGUGUCUGACGGUACCGUAAGAAUAAGGACCGGCUAACUCCGUGCCAGCAGCCGCGGUAAUACGGAGGGUCCGAGCGUUAUCCGGAAUCAUUGGGUUUAAAGGGUCCGUAGGCGGGCCUGUAAGUCAGGGGUGAAAGUUUGUGGCUCAACCAUAAAAUUGCCUUUGAUACUGCAGGUCUUGAGUCAUGGUGGGGUUGCCGGAACAUGUGGUGUAGCGGUGAAAUGCAUAGAUAUCACAUAGAACACCGAUCGCGAAGGCAGGUGACCAACCAUGUACUGACGCUGAUGGACGAAAGCGUGGGUAGCGAACGGGAUUAGAUACCCCGGUAGUCCACGCCGUAAACGAUGGAUACUAGCUGUGGGGACUUCGGUCUCCGUGGCCAAGCGAAAGUGAUAAGUAUCCCACCUGGGGAGUACGUUCGNNNNAAUGAAAC